rnacentral:rRNA from 1 species
UGAGUUUGAUCCUGGCUCAGAUUGAACGCUGGCGGCAUGCCUUACACAUGCAAGUCGAACGGCAGCACGGGUGCUUGCACCUGGUGGCGAGUGGCGAACGGGUGAGUAAUACAUCGGAACAUGUCCUGUAGUGGGGGAUAGCCCGGCGAAAGCCGGAUUAAUACCGCAUACGAUCUACGGAUGAAAGCGGGGGACCUUCGGGCCUCGCGCUAUAGGGUUGGCCGAUGGCUGAUUAGCUAGUUGGUGGGGUAAAGGCCUACCAAGGCGACGAUCAGUAGCUGGUCUGAGAGGACGACCAGCCACACUGGGACUGAGACACGGCCCAGACUCCUACGGGAGGCAGCAGUGGGGAAUUUUGGACAAUGGGCGAAAGCCUGAUCCAGCAAUGCCGCGUGUGUGAAGAAGGCCUUCGGGUUGUAAAGCACUUUUGUCCGGAAAGAAAUCCUUGGCUCUAAUACAGUCGGGGGAUGACGGUACCGGAAGAAUAAGCACCGGCUAACUACGUGCCAGCAGCCGCGGUAAUACGUAGGGUGCGAGCGUUAAUCGGAAUUACUGGGCGUAAAGCGUGCGCAGGCGGUUUGCUAAGACCGAUGUGAAAUCCCCGGGCUCAACCUGGGAACUGCAUUGGUGACUGGCAGGCUAGAGUAUGGCAGAGGGGGGUAGAAUUCCACGUGUAGCAGUGAAAUGCGUAGAGAUGUGGAGGAAUACCGAUGGCGAAGGCAGCCCCCUGGGCCAAUACUGACGCUCAUGCACGAAAGCGUGGGAGCAAACAGGAUUAGACACCCUGGUAGUCCACGCCCCUAACGAUGUCAACUAGUUGUUGGGGAUUCAUUUCCUUAGUAACGUAGCUAACGCGUGAAGUUGACCGCCCUGGGGAGUACGGUCGCAAGAUUAAAACUCAAAGGAAUUGACGGGGACCCGCACAAGCGGUGGAUGAUGUGGAUUAAUUCGAUGCAACGCGAAAAACCUUACCUACCCUUGACAUGGUCGGAAUCCCGCUGAGAGGUGGGAGUGCUCGAAAGAGAACCGGCGCACAGGUGCUGCAUGGCUGUCGUCAGCUCGUGUCGUGAGAUGUUGGGUUAAGUCCCGCAACGAGCGCAACCCUUGUCCUUAGUUGCUACGCAAGAGCACUCUAAGGAGACUGCCGGUGACAAACCGGAGGAAGGUGGGGAUGACGUCAAGUCCUCAUGGCCCUUAUGGGUAGGGCUUCACACGUCAUACAAUGGUCGGAACAGAGGGUUGCCAACCCGCGAGGGGGGGCUAAUCCCAGAAAACCGAUCGUAGUCCGGAUUGCACUCUGCAACUCGAGUGCAUGAAGCUGGAAUCGCUAGUAAUCGCGGAUCAGCAUGCCGCGGUGAAUACGUUCCCGGGUCUUGUACACACCGCCCGUCACACCAUGGGAGUGGGUUUUACCAGAAGUGGCUAGUCUAACCGCAAGGAGGACGGUCACCACGGUAGGAUUCAUGACUGGGGUGAAGUCGUAACAAGGUAA